UUUGCUGGGACAUAAAAGCAUGUCUAACUUACCUUAGGGGGAAAGCAUUGGAGAGCUAAAAACACCAGAAAUUUGAGGCGGCUAGGGAUCACUGUUCCAUUAAAAAAUCUCUGAAGAUCUGCAAAUCCCACUUUUCUAAUAGAGUUCUCGAAUACUAUAGGAAAAAUUAGUUAAGUUUUGUUGUUAUCCAAGGGUUUUGGUUCAGGUUUAAUUGCAUUCCGAUUUUGAGUGUUAGGGGUCACAAUUGUGGAUUUUGAUUUGGUUCAAGAUGGUUUUAUUUCUUUGAGCAUCGCUGGGUCAAUUUCGUUGCUGAAACACUAUACUAUUGCUGUUGAAUCUGUUGUUUCUUACCUCUUUUUUGAUUUCCUUCUUUUUCAGGUACUUUCCUUAGCUAAUAGCGAAGGAUCAACUGCUGAACCUGUAACAAUUUGAAAUAUGUUAAAUGAAGGCUGAACUUAAAUUGAUAUCUAUGCUGUUUUACUUUCAUGUUUAUCCUUUGUACCUAGAUCUAAAGUUAUAAUUAUUGAUUAGGUUUCUUUUUCUAAACUGUUUGUGAGAGAUCCCUAUAGGGCAUUUCUUACUUGUGUUGAUAAAUUGGACUGUGCACUUUGAUUAUAUAGCUUCAUUCUUG
rnacentral:lncRNA from 1 species